UGGGGAAUCUUCCGCGAUGGACGAAAGUCUGACGGAGCAACGCCGCGUGAGUGAUGACGGCCUUCGGGUUGUAAAGCUCUGUGAUCGGGGACGAAUGGCUGGUAUGCUAAUACCAUAUCAGAGUGACGGUACCCGAAUAGCAAGCCACGGCUAACUACGUGCCAGCAGCCGCGGUAAUACGUAGGUGGCAAGCGUUGUCCGGAAUUAUUGGGCGUAAAGCGCGCGCAGGCGGCUUCUUAAGUCCAUCUUAAAAGUGCGGGCUUAACCCCGUGAUGGGAUGGAAACUGGGAGGCUGGAGUAUCGGAGAGGAAAGUGGAAUUCCUAGUGUAGCGGUGAAAUGCGUAGAGAUUAGGAAGAACACCGGUGGCGAAGGCGAC
rnacentral:rRNA from 1 species